rnacentral:rRNA from 1 species
CUUGAACGCUGGCGGCAGGCCUAACACAUGCAAGUCGAACGAGUGGCGGACGGGUGAGUAAUGUCUGGGAAACUGCCCGAUGGAGGGGGAUAACUACUGGAAACGGUAGCUAAUACCGCGUACCAUCGGAUGUGCCCAGAUGGGAUGAGCUUGUAGGUGAGGUAACGGCUCACCUAGGCGACGAUCCCUAGCUGGUCUGAGAGGAUGACCAGAAAGUCUGGAACUGAGACACGGUGCAGACGCCUAAGGGAGGAAGCAGUGGGGAAUAGUGCAUAAUGGGCGAAAGCCUGAUGCAGCCAGGCCGCGGGGAGGAAGAAGGCCUUCGGGUUGUAAAGUACUUUCAGCGGGGAGGCUGUACCCGCAGAAGAAGCACCGGCUAACUCCGUGCCAGCCGCCGCGGUAAUAC